CUUGCUUUCUUCCACAAUGGGGAGAACAUCUGGGGAUGGUGUUAAUUGUCUAAGGUUGAGAUUUAUUUUCAAGUAGUCUCAACUACUCAGUGAGCCAGAAGCAAGUAUCUAGGGAGUGAAGAUGAAUGGCCUGGACCAGGAGCCUUCAGGAGAAAUGCCUGUCUUUUUAAGGAGCAGCCCCCGUCCUGGGCUCCUGCUGCAUGUUGUGGAUGGAGCCUGAGCUCUCACGCUGACUCUUGCUGCCCUCUGAGGACACCGUCUGACUUCCUGUGCUGCUGUUGCCCUCUCUGCACCAUCACAGCUUCCCGUCAGCUCCCAUCUGACUCACCAAGUCUUGCAGUGGCCACCACACACCUCAUCCCAUGACUGCCCAUCUGGACCUUGACCAGUGCCAAGAAAAUAGUAAGAGAACCAGAGAUUCACACCCUAGUGGGACUUGGUGACCUCCUGGCACUUUCCUUGGCAUGGGUCUCCCUGCCCACUGGUUUCACCCAGUGCAGGCUUUGUUCCUAAAGACUGCUCAGGAGUCUCCGGCAGGAGGAAGUUUGUUCCACAAGCUGCCUUUCUCCUGGUAGCUGCUACCUUUCUGAACCUACAUUUCAGGAUGAUAUAAUCAGCGGCAGUUGAACUGGAGCACUCUUCCCUCUACAAAUUUCUUAAAAUGAAAAAUACUUUUGUCUCA